GACUUUGAAAAAUGCACAAAUGCGGAGUAAUUGAGAAAACAAUCAAAUCAUGCUUGUUAUAGUAUGGUAAUGAGUCAUGGCGGUUUAAUUUAGGUGACAAAUGCUUCCUUCAAAUCAAGAUAAAGGCAAAUGAGGUUGUGGUCUUGAUAAAAUAAACUGGCAGAGCAUGCCACCGAGUUCUCUGAAAUUUAUUGUAGCAAAGUAUCGACAAUCAAACAAUACAAUGCCACUCUGUUUAAUGUUUCUGUGAGCUGCUGGGUCAGCCUGAUGGAUUAAAAAAACAAAA